rnacentral:rRNA from 1 species
UUGAUCCUGCGGAAGGUUGCUGCUAUUAGAGUUCGACUUAGCCAUGCAAGUCAUGGGGGUCUUCGGACCACCGGCAGACUGCUCAGUAACACGUCGAUAACCUAACUUUGGGUCUGGGAUAAUCUUGGGAAACUGAGUGUAAUACCAGAUGGGAAAUAUCGUCUGGAACGAGAUAUUUCUUAAAAAAAGCAAUGCCUAAAGAUGGGUCGGCGGCGGAUUAGAUUGUUGGUGGGGUGACGGCCCACCAAGUCGAAGAUCCGUAGGGGCCCUGAGAGGGGGAGCCCCGAGAGGGAAACUGAGAUACUGUUCCCAGCCCUACGGGGUGCAGCAGGCGCGAAACCUUUACAAUGCACGCAAGUGUGAUAAGGGAACUCUAAGUGCUCACGCACUGCGUGGGCUUUUGCCAAAGGUAAAUACUUUGGCGAAUAAGUGGUGGGAAAGACCGGUGCCAGCAGCCGCGGUAACCCCGGCGCCACAAGUGGCAACCGUGUUUAUUGGGCCUAAAGCGUCCGUAGCCUGUCAAGUAAAUCUCUUGUGAAAUUGUGCAGCUUCACUGCAUAGCGUGCAGGAGACACUGCUCGACUAGGGACUGGGAGGAGUUAGAGGUAUUUUAGGGGGAGCGGUAAAAUGCUAUAAUCCCUAGAGGACCACCUGUGGCGAAGGCGUCUAACUAGAACAGAUCCGACGGUGAGGGACGAAAGCUAGGGGAGCGACCCGGAUUAGAUACCCGAUUAGUCCUAGCUGUAAACGCUGCGAGCUAGGUGUUGCGCAUUCUACGGGAAUGCGCAGUGUCGAAGCGAAGGCAUUAAGCUCGCCGCCUGGGAAGUAUAGUCGCAAGGCCGAAACUUAAAGGAAUUGGCGGGGGAGCACUACAAGGGGUGCGGCGUGCGGUUUAAUCUAACUCAACGCAGAGAACCUCACCAGGGUCGACGGCAGGAUGAAAGUCAGUCUGAAGGGCUUACUUGACGAGCCGAGAGGAGGUGCAUGGCCGUCGUCAGCUCGUGUCGUGAGAUGCCCUGUUAAGUCAGGCAACGAGCAAGACCUGCGUCUAUAGUUGCCAGCAGGAAUGCGUGCAUUCGACUGGGCACACUAUAGGGACUGCCUUGGAAACAAGGAGGAAGGUGCAGGCUACGAUAGGUCUGUAUGCCCCGGAUACUCUGGGCUACACGCGCGCAACAAUGGUAGAGACAAUGGGAUGCAACUCCGAAAGGAGGAGCUAAACCUCUAAACUCUAUCUUAGUCCAGAUUGAGGGCUGCAACUCGCCCUCAUGACGAUGGAAUCCCUAGUAAUCAGAGUUCAUCAUACUCCGGUGAAUGUGUCCCUGCUCCUUGUUCACACCGCCCGUCAAACCAACCGAGCGGGGUUUAGAUGAGUUCAUGGAACUUUGCUAUGACCGAAUCUAAGCUUGGUGAGGUGGGUUAAGUCGUCACAAGGUA